rnacentral:rRNA from 1 species
AACGAACGCUGGCGGCAUGCCUAACACAUGCAAGUCGAACGAGACCUUCGGGUCUAGUGGCGCACGGGUGCGUAACGCGUGGGAAUCUGCCCUUCGGUUGGGAAUAACUGAGAGAAAUUUCAGCUAAUACCUUAUAAUGUCUUCGGACCAAAGAUUUAUCGCCGAGGGAUGAGCCCGCGUAGGAUUAGGUAGUUGGUGGGGUAAUGGCCCACCAAGCCGACGAUCCUUAGCUGGUCUGAGAGGAUGAUCAGCCACACUGGGACUGAGACACGGCCCAGACUCCUACGGGAAGCAGCAGUUGGGAAUAUUGGACAAUGGGCGAAAGCCUGAUCCAGCGAGGCCGCGUGAGUGAUGAAGGCCUUAGGGUUGUAAAGCUCUUUUACCCGGGAUGAUAAUGACAGUACCGGGAGAAUAAGCUCCGGCUAACUCCGUG